UACGAAGGGGGCUAGCGUUGCUCGGAAUCACUGGGCGUAAAGCGCACGUAGGCGGCUUUCUAAGUCAGGGGUGAAAUCCUGGAGCUCAACUCCAGAACUGCCUUUGAUACUGGAGAGCUUGAGUCCGGAAGAGGUGAGUGGAACUCCGAGUGUAGAGGUGAAAUUCGUAGAUAUUCGCAAGAACACCAGUGGCGAAGGCGGCUCACUGGCCCGGUACUGAUGCUGAGGUGCGAAAGCGCGGGGAGCAAGCAGG
rnacentral:rRNA from 1 species